rnacentral:rRNA from 1 species
CCUACGGGAGGCUGCAGUGGGGAAUAUUGCACAAUGGGCGCAAGCCUGAUGCAGCCAUGCCGCGUGUGUGAAGAAGGCCUUCGGGUUGUAAAGCACUUUCAGCGGGGAGGAAGGCGUUAAGGUUAAUAACCUUGUCGAUUGACGUUACCCGUAGAAGAAGCACCGGCUAACUCCGUGCCAGCAGCCGCGGUAAUACGGAGGGUGCAAGCGUUAAUCGGAAUUACUGGGCGUAAAGCGCACGCAGGCGGUCUGUCAAGUCGGAUGUGAAAUCCCCGGGCUCAACCUGGGAACUGCAUUCGAAACUGGCAGGCUAGAGUCUUGUAGAGGGGGGUAGAAUUCCAGGUGUAGCGGUGAAAUGCGUAGAGAUCUGGAGGAAUACCGGUGGCGAAGGCGGCCCCCUGGACAAAGACUGACGCUCAGGUGCGAAAGCGUGGGGAGCAAACAGGAUUAGAUACCCGGGUAGUC